GCAGCGUGUCGGAUUUAUGGGCGUAAAGCGAGCGCAGGCGGUUUCUUAAGUCUGAUGUGAAAGCUUCGGCUCAACCGAAGAAGUGCAUCGGAAACUGGGAAACUUGAGUGCAGAAGAGGACAGUGGAACUCCAUGUGUAGCGGUGAAAUGCGUAGAUAUAUGGAAGAACACCAGUGGCGAAGGCGGCUGUCUGGUCUGUAACUGACGCUGAGGCUCGAAAGCAUGGGUAGCAAACAGGAUUAGAUACCCUGGUAGUCCAUGCCGUAAACGAUGAGUGCUAGGUGUUGGAGGGUUUCCGCCCUUCAGUGCCGCAGCUAACGCAUUAAGCACUCCGCCUGGGGAGUACGACCGCAAGGUUGAAACUCAAAGGAAUUGACGGGGGCCCGCACAAGCGGUGGAGCAUGUGGUUUAAUUCGAAGCAACGCGAAGAACCUUACCAGGUCUUGACAUCCUUUGACCACUCUAGAGAUAGAGCUUUCCCUUCGGGGACAAAGUGACAGGUGGUGCAUGGUUGUCGUCAGCUCGUGUCGUGAGAUGUUGGGUUAAGUCCCGCAACGAGCGCAACCCUUAUUACUAGUUGCCAGCAUUUAGUUGGGCACUCUAGUGAGACUGCCGGUGACAAACCGGAGGAAGGUGGGGACGACGUCAAAUCAUCAUGCCCCUUAUGACCUGGGCUACACACGUGCUACAAUGGAUGGUACAACGAGUUGCGAGACCGCGAGGUUUAGCUAAUCUCUUAAAACCAUUCUCAGUUCGGAUUGUAGGCUGCAACUCGCCUACAUGAAGCCGGAAUCGCUAGUAAUCGCGGAUCAGCAUGCCGCGGUGAAUACGUUCCCGGGCCUUGUACACACCGC
rnacentral:rRNA from 2 species